GAGAGGAGGCUGGAUCGCGUGGGUGGUUAUCUUUAUCUACUCUGCAUGGAGAAAAAAAGACAAAAAUUGAAUACUACUACUGCGAUUCAGUAUGAAGAGAGAAAAA